rnacentral:lncRNA from 1 species
GUCGUUCCUGAAAUUCUUUCACAUAAUUGAAGAUUAAUUUGAUUCCCCAGCUUGUUGAGGGUAGUUGACAGUGGGGGGCUGGGGUGGGUGGAAAUAGAUUAUUCAAAUCACAAAGAAGUAGGUGUGCCCUAAGUGACUGUUCCAUUACGGCGAGGAAGAAAUGUUUGCCUUCCUAAGCAUUCAUCCAACUCGCUGCUGCCGAUUGUGUGGGGCCGGAGGAGAGUGCCUGCUCACGAUCGGAAAGCAGCUCCUCUCCGUGUCCUGUGCUGGUGACUUCAGAGAGUGCAUUGUCGUGUAUGGACACCACACCGACCACUCUGUAACCCUCACCCUUCGCCCAGGCCCCUCCCUGCCUGCUCUGGCUGUGCACAGCUACCCCAGAUCCUCGCCCUGCUGUUUGUGGCCCCCACACUUUGAUUUCCCCUCGUGUCUUCACUUUCCACACUUGUACAUCCCGAAAGUUUCCAAGUCCUAUGGAUUCUGCUUCUGUUAUUUCUAAUUCAAAGGUUCUGGGCUGUGCCUUCCAACUGGAUAAAGCUGACCCUGGAAUUGGCACCUGGUGGGUGAGCAAUCAGGGUCCGUUGAAUGAAAAAUGGCCUCCACCUUAAUCAAGGUUUCAGCUCCAAAAAUAAUCCUACGUGUAUCUCUGCCCACUACUGCAUUAUCCUCCAUGACAGUCGGCUUGGAUCACAUUAUUUUAAUGUUCAGCACCUAGCUUUUUCCUGAAUCCAAUGUAAAGUACUCUUUUCUUUUUCUUUUGGCACCAGGGAUCGAACUCAGGACCUUGCGCUUGUGAGGCAGACUCAGUGCCACUGAGCUAAAUCCCUGAUCCCCAAACUACUCUUUUUAAAUACACCCCAACUUAUUUUUCCUCAGUACUCCUUCACAAACUCCUAAAUACCCUAUGCUCAACACAAAACAUACAGUUCCCAAAGGAAGAUCUUCCAGCCUACACUUACCCAACUUUGUGAUGGGAAGAAAGCCACAGGGUAGGCUGGGAAGCAGGCUCUGAAGUUUGAAUUCAGUCUGUUCUGGGCUGGUGAUAGGUGGUGAUGCUUCUUCCCAGUCUGGACAGCAGCAGUGAGUCAUUUCAGCAGGAGAAACGCAGAAACUGUAGGUGGCACCGUGCGGGCAGUGUGUUUUGGAUAUUGUCAUUCAGAAAGUUAACUGAGAUAGUCAAUGCUUAAUUAUAAAAUGGGCUUUGAGUUGGGUGGUGCUGCUUAACUGUAUGUAAGGAAGGCAGGCCAGGCACAGCUGUGAUGUCCAGUAGGUGAAGAAUAGUAAAUACAUUUUUGAUUUUUUCUAUUUAUGAUGGGUUUUAGCCUCAGUAGAAAUGCAGCAGCACCUGUAUUAUUUAUUCAUUUUGGUCUCUGCCUCAUAGCUUAGUUUAUCUUCAUUUCUUCAACCGUAAUGCUUACUCUUGUUUAUUCAGCAGUAUUGGGGAUUGCACUUGGGGUCUUUGCACUGAGCUACACACCCCGUCUUUUCCCUUCUUUCCUGAGUCAAGGUGUCGCUAAACUGCAGAUUUUCCUGGGUUGAUCUCCUGAUUGUGAUUGUCCUGCCUCAGCCUCCUAGAGUGUAUCCGGCUUCACUCAUCUUUUAAAAGUGAAUUUUUACUGGGCUUUUAAGGCACAUUUCAAAUGCUGCCCCGCCCAUGGAGCUACAGUAUUUGGGUUCUGUAUGUCUUUUUCAGCUAAGCUGGAUGUUCUUCCCUUUUCAGGGAAUUUAUGGGAUUCCUACCAGCAGGUACCUGGUCGGGAGAUGGGAGCUAAACUUCCUUUUUUUGUGCCUGGACCCUCAAUGUCUUACACAUAGUAGGCACAUAGAGUACUUUCAUUAAAUUACAUUCAUGUUUGUUUUUUCCUCAGGGCUGCCGGGAUGUUUCUUUCUCUUUUGAGUCCAGGUUGAUGCUCCUCACUGUGGGGCGUGUGUCUGUGUGAGUAGCCCGCUUAGCUCCUUCAGUGAGGAGACAUACGUUGUUUAGUCCUUAUUUUAAACUACUUUUCAGAAUGGGAGAACAACGCCUUCAUUUUGGAUCCAUGUGAUGCACUUUGAAUUUGCUCAGCUUUAGUUUGUGCUGCCCCUCAUUCUGUGUGGAAAUUAGUUCCACCGAAGUGCCACUGAACUCAGAGCUGCCUGCAACUUGAGAUGCAAACUCCAACACUGUGGGCCACUUUUGAGAAGCAUGUGGUCAUUCGGGAAACAAAGACACUCCUGUUUCCUCUUCUCAAUAACAAUUAAGACAUCAGAUUAAUAGAAUCUUUAAAUUCUUGAAUGAUGCUUGCAGAACAGUUUGUGUUUGCUUUAACACAAAGGAAUACUUUCUGAAACCUAAAGGUCACCCAAGAAAUAAGAGAGAGACAAUUUAGGAAUGGUGCAUGCUGGUAGAGUUUUGCAGAAUGGCAUGUGUUCUUUACAGUGUGUUUCUGGCUUUGGAGCCACUUGGCAUGGGAGUACACUGUGAUUUACUGCAGACAGGCAUUCCUGGGCAAGGAGUCCCCUGCAUGGAAGGGACAUGCCAUCAGGAGAAGGAGAGGACACUGGGGGUGGGAUGGGGGAAGAAGACUUCUCAGUUCCCACUCUAGCAUUUACUUAAUGAGUGUAAUGUUCUUGCUAAUGGGAUUUAACCACAAUACCUGUCUCUAACCUUGUCACCGAAAAGGUAGUCUACAUGCCCCUCUUUUCAAUGCUGUCUGGGUGGAAACUGUGCCCAAGUCUGUUCUCCCAAUUUUCUAAGUGGUAAUCCUAGAAUUAUCUUGGCUCAGAAAUAAAUGAAGAACUCAUGUACAGGAGUCAGAUUUCCCUACAGGGGUUGUAACUGAAACAAGGAUUAAGUACCAGUGUACAAAACCUUUCAAGCAAUGGACAGCAUGUCAAUUGCGGAACACUCUAUCGUAGAAGGGCCCUUAGCGCUUCUCUUUUAUAAAGCCUGAGAUCAGAUUUUGGUGGAGAAUUAAAAGCAGGGCAAUUUAGCUCCUUUAAAGGGUUGCUGGUUUGGGAGGACCCAGCUAUUUUUAGCUCUGUUGCUGUCUGUCCAGGAAGCUAAAACAGCUAGUCAAUUAAAUGGUAAACAGUGUGUGUGUGUGUGUGUGUGUGUGUGUGUGCAAGGUGUUGUGUAGGAGUAGGGCAGGGAGCUGGGGAGAUAAAAUAGGCCUCAGAAAAGAGUCUACCCAGGGCAAGAACUUUGCAAAGAGUUGCACAGUGUCAUGCAGAUAAAGCAUCCACUGGUGGCCACCUGUUACACAGUGCACACGUUUAUUUGAUGUUGCGCAGCAGAUGGAAUGGAAUGACACUAAGCCAGCUGAUCACUCAUGCUCAGGCAUCCAUUGAGUGAUGGUCACAAACUCUCUGCCAUUUACUGACUAUCUGCUAUACACCUAGCAUGGCGCUUUACUUCCGGUGUGCCAUUGGAUGUUGACAGCUGCAGCCUGAGAAGCCGAUACAGAGACAUUUUUGCCCAAGAUUACCUACCUGAUAGGUGCCUGAACUGGAUUAGAAUCUAGUUUUCUUUCCAACUCUGCUCUAGUCACUUCUGUAGCCUGCCUCCCACACUGGUCCCAGCUGCACUGACACUAUGUGAUCUGAAAUCGGUGUGUGAGGGCACUUUGGCCUUCCUGGAGAAAGGCAUGGAGCACACACAGGCCCGAUAUGCACACACAGAAAUGUGUAUAUACUGAACCUACAUUUAAAUCCACAUUUUAAGUGUGCCAGUAUCCUUAAAAAGAAAUAAUGAGGGACUCUCAUUUACAUUUUGCUUUCCAGUUUUCCUGGAACUGUAAUUUGUACUCCUCUUUUUUAAAAAAAAUCCCCUUUACCUUCUUUUAUUUAUUAUGAUCCCUGGAGAAUGUGUCCUCUGCUCAUGGCCUAGAUAAGAGAUCAUGGGUAUGGAGCAGAGGUCAGCAAGAUAGACGUAUGUUAGAAAAAAAAAAGAAAAUAGCAGGGUGGAACCACAUGGCUCUUAGUGGUCAUUUUUUCCCCUCAUGCUGUGUAGCAAACCUGAGGCAUGCUCAAUUUGGCAUCUUUGAAUUUAAACCAUGGAUAAACCAAAUAGAUCACAAACUAUGAUUCCAAAUAGAAACUGUGGAUUUAUCCGAAGGUAUAUUAUAUGAUCUCAUCCAAACAUAAAAUUCAUAUUCUAAGAGUGGUGUGUAAAAUUCCCCGAGAUUUUAGUGCAAGAUAAUUUUCCCUUUUCAUGUGCCUUUCCUCAUAUUGAGAUAGGUGGAAAUCUUUUAAGAUUUUAAUUAACCUUCGUCCUAAUGAAAAACCAACUACCAAUCUAUAGAUGGAAGGAUAUUUCCUUGGACAAUGUAGCCGUUAGUGUAAGGUCUUGUUGAAUCUCUUUCAACAAGUGUUUGGAAAAAAUCAAAUUUAGAAAUAAACAUUCAUAUCUAGAGGGCCUAUCGGGGUUUCCCUCCAAGCAGACAAAGGAAUACUUUCAGUCUUAUUAUAUGUCUUUGGACAAGCUCAGCUCUCAGGGCCUGCUGAGCUCUAAUAUCUUACGAAUCACUAACAGUCAAACUUCUUUCAUUUUGAGGCCCAUUCCUGGAGGGAUAAAGAUAAUGUGGUCAAGGAUGCAACAAUCAGCUGUUGGACUCAGAUGUGGCUGUAGAUAUAAAACAGAGUAUCUCUUCCUUUCCAGAUCAAAGGGAGAGAGUCCUUAGAAUGCUCAAGUUCGAAGUAGACAAAGAGGAGAAGGAAUAUCUAGCAUCAAAAUAGUGGCAAAUAUAAAAAUCUAGGCUUAUUACUGAGACCUAGGAAACAAUUCUCAAGGAAUGUUCCUGCUGCCAGUUACCUGAGAUUUUUUAAUUACAGGCAAUUCAUGAUUACCUGUGAAAGGAGGGAUGGAGAGGAGAACUCAAACAAUGAAUGUUGCAAAAUCAUACAAAUUGGCUUGGGAAUAUUCUGCAUGAUUUCUCCCUCUUAGAAAUUUGCCUUCCUAAUUGUAUUUUGCUUAAUCCAAUAUUAAAAAUUAGUUGGUUUCCCCUGAGAAGCUCUGGAGUUAAACUGCAGAGGGAAUUAGUUUCAGGAGCAUGCCACUUGGAACGUGGUGGAUGAAACGUAUUCGGGCCUUAAUGGACCAAAAGCUCCCACAGAUAUUUUAAUCUUAAAGGAAAGUGUCAUCUUGAGCACCUUACUAGUCUUCUCAUGUUGCCUAAAAGGCUGUAAACAAGUAUUUGUGAUCGUUAUGUAGGUGAGAUUAUUUCUACCUAGAUUUGUGCAUUUUUACCUGGAGAAUGUUCCAUUCUCGUCUCUCCCCUCCUUGGUAGCUGUAGUAAAUAAUAAACCAUCUAUCAGACUUAAGCAUAGGGCCUUAAUGGGGCCAGAAAUUUUGUUGAAUAAAUGAGAACAUUACUUAAGGCAGGUCUGGGUCUCAUUGUGUGACACCCAAGCAAUCCAUGAGGUGAUGUUUGUGAUUUAGGAAUCCGAACCCUUAGGCUAUAGAGUUGUUUUCUUUGGGGUUCCAGACUAAGUUCCCUUUGCUUCCUUCCCAACUUCCUUAAUUCUUUCCUUUCUCCCUCCCUGCCCCAUUUUUUAUAUUUGCCUUGUACCAUAUUGAAAUUAUUUCAUAUUGUAAUGUUCCGUCAGUAUAUACAAAUUCAAAAGUAGACGUACAUCCCUUCAGCUUAUAGUGCAUCUACAACUGAAAAUCCAAAACAAAUUUGCACACUGAAUUCCAACAAAAUGACAAAUGCCGCACUCAGAUGAACAAUACUGAUUUGACGUGAUGAACGACAGUGAGCUAACAUUAAGUGCUCACUUGUGGCAGUGGUGGUGGACCGACUGGUAGGCUGGUGAUGCUUUAAUUUUAUCAUACCUUUCUGUGUUUGUGAUGUAGAAGACAGUUCUAACAUCUUACUUAAAUCCCCUAGAAAGCUUUGGUCCACAUAAGUGUGCUGAUAGAUCAUGUAGCCUCACGAAUCCAUAAUCCAUUUUUAGGUUCACAAUCAGGUAUUGUGGGUCCUGGUGAGUAUGUAGUUUUGGGGAGUAUUUUAAAUAAAAAGUUAAAAGGUAAUGAAAGCAGAAUAAGUGGGGUUCCUCUCAGGCCCUUGGAAAGAAUCUGUACAGAGCAGUGCUGAACAUCAGGCAUUCUUAGCUUCAAAUCCAUCUUCCAAAUCCAUCUCGUUCAUGGGUCAAGCACUUCUCUACUUUCCUUUUAUUACCAAUAAAAAUGUCCAACCGGGUAACAAUGAGGAGUUGUAUUUUGUUUUCAUUUUAAGGAUAUAGUUUUGCAUUAUACAUUGGUACUUUUUAAAGGUAAUUCUUAAAAUAAAAACAGAAAAUUAGAUAUGGUUAUUUGUAGCACAGAUGGUUGCACAAUCUUUUUAUGUAAACUAUUUCUCCUAUGAUGGAUUCCUACAAGGAAACCCUGGGAGAAAGUUUUGGGGCUUGCCUUUUUUUUCAGCAUUCGUUUAAUUUACAGAGGUCAUGGAAAUAGAGAGGUCAGCAUUUCUCAAGAACAGCUUUUCCCAACCUGCCUGGCUUCUCGGAGCUUGAUCUGGGGGCUCACACAGCCCUUGUCAUUGUCUGGCACCUCGCCUGGUAACAUGGUUGUGAGCCCUGUCAGAAGACAGGGCCAAAGUGUGCCUCAGGUCAGCAUUUCUCUGGGGACCGAGGGGGCAGGCAGAACCCAGAGGUCAGAUCUGCCUUGGGGAUAACAUUGCAGAGUCCAGUGGUUGCAAUCAGGUGUGUUAUAAGUCAAAGCCACAUGGCAAACAGCAGGCACAGGGAAUGCUCAAAGGUCAGAUGGGCAACACAAGCCAGGGUCAGGAAGAACUUGGAGCUACAAUACCAGUUGGCAAGCAAAGCAGUCAUAAAAACCAUGAUCAGGCACAUUAUGCCUGUUGGACCUAAAUUCUUUCUGCCUACGAGACUGCUGUGCUCAGAGACAUUGGCUCUGGUACCAUGUGAGAGCACCUGGUAGACUGGAGAAUAAACUAUUAUACUCAAGAUCUAACCUGCCCUCUCAGGUUCUCUUCUCUCUAAGACAGGACAGUGAUGUCUCCACUGAAGUGACCUCCAUCGUACAGGUAUCCAGGAUACAUGCUCUGGGUGGAGCUUAGUUCUAAGAGAAUGUUUAUCUUGGAACCUUCUAAGGCUUUUCAUCAAAUAGUCCUAGCUUUCUUACUCCUUGCUUUAUGGGGUUGUUGUGAAUGGGUUUUGUAAAUAAUAAAGGACUACCACAUACCAGAUGACUACAAUCCUUUCUUUCCAGUGGGGAUUCUGAUGUUUAUAUUACCUGAAAGUUGUUUUCAAGUGAGGUUCUCAGCUAAUAAAUAUUUUUUUGGGUUUUCUUUCUAUUUUUUUUUUCCUUGAUUGAGCCUCAUCUUUUUGGUGACCAAUAAUUUAUUGGAAAUUUUAUCUGAGAAAAAUGUUUGCAGAGAUGGAGAGUUUCCCAGAUUCAAAAGAGAUUUUUCUUCUAAAACUCAGAGCUGGUAGAGCUACAAGACCAGCCUCUUUGUCUAAUCAAUCAGGUUUUUAACACAAUACACCCAGCUGAUGCUUGGGUAGAAUACAAAUUCCCAGUCAUGUGAGCUCUUAUCAGUUAUAAUACUGACAAAGAAUUAGCCAGUCUCUUUUGGUAAAAUGAUAGUUGCGGGCGCCUUAAUUUUUCUAGAAAUAUUUGGGGGAUUUGAAAGCUUAAGAAGUAAACAGGUUGUUUUGCUCAGGAAACCUUCUCUGAAAGACUGAGCAGGGUUCAUCUGAUGACAUUAGCUUUGCAAGUAAUUUCCAUGAUGUCAAGGGCACACUGGAGAUUAAAGAGGGAUUAAGACCUCCUUGCACAGUUAUGGCAUUGCAGUAAAUGGACUGGACUUGGCAGGCUGCAGCUCCGGUCGGCAACUUUCCAACACCUAAUCAUACACAAUAUAGGUUUGUGGUGUUACCUGGGCUAUUUUCACAGAGGCCAAGAAAUGUUUAACAGAUAAGGUGGGAGGAGAAAGAGGCUGGGAAGGAGGGUGGACCUGAGAAGAGCAGUUUAAGACACACCUGCCACCAUCAAGAGCUGCCGAAGAAGAUCAAGACAUUAAGGAAAAACAAUUUUUUUCAUAAUGUUUCAAAACAUGAGUUUCCAUCCUUUUUCCACUCCCAAAUUCUCCAGAUAUGCCUCUCUCUUAAAAGCUUUUUAUCCUUCAUGUUAUUAUCAAUUUCUUCAGCAAAAGGAGGCAGGUUUGUCCAGGAACUUCAUGGAAUAAAAAUGAGUUUAUGUUUUAAAACGGAAACAGCUGGAUGGCCAAAGCCAGGCAGGGAGGCAGCUCUGGUUUCAUCAGCAAAGGGAAACUCAAGGGCCUGGAGAGAACAACUGGGCUGGCAGCCAUGGCGGGGAGAAGAAAAGGAAACACACGAUCAUAAAGAACUAAUCAUGAUGAAAAAUGAAAAGCGAGAAAGAGCCAAGAACAACAAGCAAUAAAUAGAUUUGGAAAGGGGAAAAGACCAAAGGAAUGCAAAACCAUACUCAGGAAAGGGGCAGCAAGAUCAUGUGCGUUUCAUUGAAAAAUGUUUAAUAAUUCUUAAAAUCAUUAAAGAGUCCUACAGAAAUGUUUGGAGAUAACUUGUCAGACCUGAGAUUUAAUUCUUUGUGUUAUUUCAAAGCUGAUUUCAGUGCAUGAAAAGAAACAAAGUAAGAAAGGAAGAAAGGAAGAAAAGGAAAGGAAGAAAGAAGGAAAGAAAGAGAAUCAAAUGGACCUAGAGGGAGGAAUCUAAUGUAUAAUGUGCCAGAAUGCUUGGAUUUUUUUCUUUCUGCUUUUAUUUUUUUUAACUUUUAAUUUCAGCCCGAUGGUAGGGAAAGUAAGCAAUUAGUUUGACUCUGUAGGUUCAAAGACUACAUCCAGGGCUGGGGAUUUAGCUCAGUGGUUUUGCCUCCUGCUGCGCAAGUGCAAAGACCCGAGUUCGAUCUCCGGUACCAAAAAAAAAAGGACUACAUCCAAAGUGAUAAAUCCUGAGUUUCUAAGAGUAAUUCAUACAUUCCUAGCUUUAAUUAGAAAUAGCAUGUACAUUUUUCUCUAUGCAGUAAUUGUCUGACAUUCAUGUGUUUGUCUCAAGGGACUGACAGUUCUGACUCACAGGUAGAUCUCUAAAUAUUUUCAGAUGAAAUUAACAUGGAUUUAAGGAGGACUUAAGAAGAAAACCAGAUCCUAGUUUGUUGUCCCUCUUGAAGUGUGUUCGACAUGAUAAAAUAUACAAACAUGGCCAAUUGUCCAGGCUAUCCUCGAGAUGGGAUUUUUAAUAAAAACUAUUUGAAGUUUUACAGCAGUUAUAGAUAAAAUCUUACCACAGAAAUGGUGCUGUCUUUUUAUAGGGGGGAUACUAAUUAUUAGCUUUUUUAAAAAAAUUAGUUUUUAAUAGCAGCAUUCGUUUAAAGAGAGAAAAAAAUGCUUAUGUUACCUUCUGGAAUGUACAUUCAUCUUGUUAAUGACACUGUAGUUCAUGGUUGGCAAAACAGGACUUCUGAAUCAACCUGUCUUUUUCUUUCCGUUUGGUAGUUACACUUGAGAAAGAAAGCCAGCCCACUAAAGAUACAUGAAAAGUGCAUGAAGACAGGAUAAAGGAUUUCCUAUGAUUUUAUGUUGUUCUUAAUUAGGAAGCAUAUUGGCAACAAAUGCUAACAUGUGUUAAGAUGUUUAGUUGUAGCCAAAUAAAUGUUUUCUAUUACAACUCUGAAUUCCAUGCCUACUAGGAAACCAUGCUGUUCUGUGCAUGGCUUACAAAAUCCCUUUACAAAUCAUCUCAAGGACCAAUUUUCUGUUGGCUCACAGAGCAAAACUACUUUCGCCACAUGUUCUCCUGAAGGGUCAUGGGCAACUCCAAGCGGAAGUCAAAGACAAGAGGAACAUGAUCUCCGAUGUUGGAACUGCACUGCUUUGUGGUAAUGAAUGGUCCUUCAUGAGCAUACUCAAUGUGAGCCCAGUCUCAGAAGGGGGUGUCCAGAAGCUAGGGAGCAGCACCCUCUCAUCUGUGUUUGUUUUUAUCUCAGUGGAGGAGAAGCCAAGUGAAGAAGAAUUUCCUAUAACUUCUGCUAGCAGUGUAUCACAAAAUGCUUCAUCUCCGAUGAACAAGAGUAGGCACCAAGCUGAGUAACAAGGCUAGAGAGGAUCCUUAUCUUGAUCAUUGCGUAUUUUUAAAGAGCAAACAUUUAUUUUCUACUUCUAAUGUCAGAAGUUGAUUGAAAAAGAACAAAAAGUGAAUGGUGGUGAAGUUGUUUCCUAAAAUUUAAUAUUAGGGCACCUUCUCUAUUCAGGAUCUUAUGUUGCAAGCUAACUGUACAACUGUCAUGCUUUUGGGGGGUAACUGGUGCAUGGAUUAUUCUAUCUGUGUCUUAGAAACUUUAAGAGAAAAGAUUUCCAUCAUGGUAUUUUCUACUGCAUUGCACAGAAAUUUUACAUACCCUCAUUCAUUUACACAGCUGAAAUGACACAGGAGAUAGCCAGCAUCUGUCCAUUGGUUGGAAAGCACUCUAGUUUUUUGAUAUCAAUAAGUCAAUGGAAUCCAUGACUUACAGCAAUCUUGCGGUAUUCAUUCAAUAUGCUAUGACCAUGUUACCUAAAAGCUUCAUCUCUGCUCCCUGCAAUAUUCUUCCUCCAAUUUUUGGCUGGUGUGUUCUCUCCCUUCUUCAUGCCUUUUUUCAAUUGUCCCAAUUCCUGAAGCUUCUCCUCAUGUCUCAAGUAUUCUCUUUCCCUGUGUGCAAUUAUUUUGUUUUCUUCAUUAAUUUAGUUCCUCUCUCCUCUUCUAGGCUAUACAUUUCAUGAGGAAAGAAAGGCAUUUUGGUGUCAUUCUGGUGCCUAAGAACCUAAGUAGGAGAUGUGUAAUAAAUAAUUUGUUCACUGAAUUAACAGGCCCAUAAUAUUUUUGUUAUUCCUCUCACAUCCAUGGGCAACAUGUUCAAAACCUUGAAAAUUAUUAAAUCAUUUCUCUGCAUUGCUAUGUAAAACUUCUAAUAUUCCUAAUAAGACUGACCAUGCUUAUGAAAUCUUUUUUCCUUGGCCCACUGAGUAUAUGGACCACGAAAUAUUUAACAAAAAAGUGAGACUGUACAAAGAAGCACUAGGUUAGUGAAAGAUGAUUUUUUUUUUUAGUGCUUUUAGGUGGUGACCUCUUAACAAUGUAUCAGAUCUUUUGUAAACCGUGAAAUGAAAUGACUGGCUAUCGGAACUAAAUUUGAAGAGAAAAACUGUCAUCUUCAAAGCAGUAAAAUCUCUAUAUAACCAUGUAAACUAAUUACUAGGUUAAGUAAAAUCACUGAAAUAUAUCAGGCCUUUCUCAUGUCUGCAGGGCAGACAUAAUACAGUAAAUUUCUAAUAGUCAGCCUGGGAAGGCGCUGUAAUGGUUAGAGGAUGUCAUGGUAAUAGUCUCAGUUUUGGUUGGGAGACUUACAAAGAGAAUAUUGGUUGUACAUAAACUGUAGAAUCUACUUGAAUAUUUCUUUUUCAUUUCUCCCUAUCAAAGAGUGGAAGAUAUUUUGUGUAUAAUGUUUUUUUUUAAUUUUAGAUUAUUUGGUAUAUUGUAUUUUUUCAUGUGGGUAACAAAAAUACGUGAGCAAGAGCAAAACCUACCAGAAGCCUCAAAAACAUAGGUACCAUGGAAGACCUCAUGAUUCUUUCAAUUAUUAAAAAGCACUAUUUUAAGAAGACAUGUUAGUAAUCCACAGUAAGUCAGAAGUAUUGGAUCAACACAUUGGAACAUUGAGUAUUUAUUUAGUUUUUGGUGCUGGGGCUGGAACCUAGGGUCUCACAUGUGGCAGGUAAAUAUUCUACAACUGAGCUGUACCCCUAGUUCUGAAUGUUUGUUUUAUUAGGUCAUUUUAUAUACAUAUAUAUUUAAAUUUGGGACAUUGUUUUCUAAAGUCUCAAACUACUCUUAUACUCAACCCCGAAGACAACCCAGCUCACCACUCUGGAUUACGACUAACUGUUUGCGUAUAUGUUUUUCCCAAGAAAUUAUGCACCUUGAAGAAAAAGACUUCAUUUUUUUUUGCUUCACAAUAUUUCCCAUGACCCAGUGCAUGGAAUGGAUAAAUUACCCUUAGCAGAGGCUCAUCAGCGAUUCCUGACUUCCCUGCUAACUUUUCCUAGAGAUGUGAAUUAAAGAUAGAAAUUUGUUCAGACCAUUGAUGGUCCUCAGAAAUACAAUCUUAAAAAGUUGAUAUCUAUCCGGUCUCAAUUCAUGGAGAGCGGUGGGAACCAGACCUCUGAAAAGUGGUUGAGUAUUGGGCUACAAGCUUAGGGGAUAGUCCAUGAGGAAUAAAACCAAAAACAUACAUUAACAUUUAUUUGCCCAAACGGCUGGUGCCUUAAAAGCUGGUGCCCUCCCCCAUUCCAAUUAACAUGGAGGGAAAUAUUCCAGCUGCUGGGAUCUUUCCUCUGCAUGCGAACCUGCCGUUGUUGCCUGGGUAGCCUGUGUGUCUCUUUGGAAUUGAUAAUGAGGUUCAAGAGAGAGAGGUAUGGCCUGUACUAAGCAUGUCACCCCUAUUUAGCACCUUUGCCAGGAUGGCAGCCACUAUUGUUUUAUUAUGUCCCUGAUCAGCUGGCACUAUUCAUAAAGUAAUCACUGCCAUUAACACAUCACGCCUCAAGCCAUCUGCUGCAGCAUCACGUACACCAAGCUGUUGGUUGCAAGCAAAGCAGGUGUCAUCUAAGGAUAGUGGCACGGUAAAGGUGGGAAGUCAUCAUAGUGAAAGAAGAUAUGUUCUAUCAAAUAAUUCCAUAUUUUGAUACAUUAUAGUAUAAUAGGCCAUGGUUAUUUUGCCCAACUUGCAGAUGGCUUAAAUAAGAUAAUUCAAGUUUGAAAUAUUUUAUUUUCAACACCGGUCAGUUAUGGAGCCAAAAAUGUCCUUGAAUACCUUGAUGAUAGCAUCUUGAUCACAAGUGGACUAUUGCAUUAAUUUGCAGUAAAGUUUAGAGCAUUCUUACAGAAGCCUUCCUCUGAUCAAUCAACUCUUCAAGUGACAAACAUUUACUGAGCAUGUAGUAAGUGACACUGAUACCUGUCUUGCUCAAAUUGUAAAAGUACUAGUUUAAAACAUGAUCUGGUAAUGUAUAUGGUAGAGACUCCAUGUGUACUGAAUUCCCACCCUUUGUUCUGUCCCUAACACUUCUCUUGAUUUUUGAAUAAUUUUAAGUUUUUAUUACUUUCCAUAUUGAUGGCAUUUUUAUGUCCAAAACAAGUUUACAUUGGAAAAAUAUAAUGAUUAAAUGCAAUCUAUAAAAAUGGAUAAAGUAUAGGAUGAUCAGUUAUUGCCACCCUCUUCAUUAUGAAGGGGAUUUGUGAUUAUACAAUCAUGAGUGGAGUUAAAAAUUUAAUUGAAAGUGUUAAGUGAGGUUAGGGAGUGAAAUAAGUGAUCAUACUUGGUCCAAAUAGUCUUUUCCACCUGCGUGUAAAGUGGAACUGCAUUCCUUGUUUCUUUAACUAUAGAAAAUUUAUCUAUUUGCUCUGUACUCCCCCCAUAAAAAAGAAAUAAUAAAACAUUAAUGAGAGUAGCUAACUCUGCCCUCUAUUUCAAUCCCCAAGCUUUGCUCUUAUCUUGGAAGUGAGAAGUGUUGGAUGAGGGGUUGGAUCUGCCAGCCCCUCUGUUACUUUUAGCAGCAUCCUGCUCUUCACUUGCUAAGGAUAUAUGUGUCUGGCUAUGCAGGCUGUGGUCCUAGGGUCCAUGUAACACAGCACUGUUCACCAGGACACACCUGUCCACAUAUCCUCUAGGCUACUGGGUGGUCUAAGGGAUUUUUAAGGCUAAAUUUGACUUUACAUUUAGAACUUCACCUCUAUGGGUGUAUGUUAAUCACCCAUGGAAUUGGUGAAGGCUACCGGAUUCCAAAAUCUAUUGAAAGCAAAGAUAGCCAUUUUCUAUAUCAAGAUUUCUCAACUACUUUUGAACUCAACUUCCUUUUGAAAGACAAAAGAAACGUCAAGCUCUCUUCUCAUCCCUGAAGAUUUGUGGAUCCAUCUGUUGUCACCAAAAAGACACUCUCAAGAUCUACUUUUGUAGGUGGAGUUAAGAAAAACGUUUUAAAACUUCUCUUCUUGCCUUUACACCCUGAGAAUUUGGAGUGUAGAUUUCAGAUGGGAAGUAGACUACUUUUCACUAUCAAAUACUCAAUUGAAGGCAAGAUUUAGUUAUUUUGACUUGAAGAUUGAAAUUUUGGAGUCUGGAAUGGCUACCUUUGAAAAUAUAAGUGAAGAUAAAAAGACACAAAUGAAGAAUCAAAGAACAAGCUAAUGAUUAUUGUCCUUUUCUAAGGGGACUACAUAUGCUCAAUAAAUCUGUGAUUACUGACUACCUACUGACUUACAGGGACAGGCAUGCUGAUGGUUUUGGAUACUGUAAUUUUAAGUUGACUUUGCCACAUGUGAUUUAAUACUUUGAAUACAAAGCCCCCAAAUUGUUUGCUAUUUUGUUUGGAUCAAAAUGUGUAGCUCAAAUGACUUUGUAAGACUGGCUUCUCAAACUAUCACCUGCCCUUACAUCAGGCUCAGAAAGAACACAAAGACAAAAGACUCUUAGGUCCACUUCUGAUGCAUUACCAGCUCUUGCAAAUGCUCAACCAAGAAAAUACAUAAUGGUUCCUCUUUCGUCACUUUUGUUAAAAUAUUUUUGUUGAAAGUUGGUAAAAGCUGUAGAUGAGCAAGCCUGGUCAUAGGUUUGAACCUGGCACAAACGACGAGGGCACCUGGGAGAUAUUCUCCCGCUGAACAUGUCCACAGUACAGUUUUUGCCUCAGGAGCAUGUUCACUGUGGCUCUGCAGGACCCAGUUGUGUGAUAGUGGGAGGCUGAUCGACUUAAAGCACAUUGGUAGCUUGUGAACACUUAAGACUGGAAACCUUCUUUGAUAAAUGCACAUCUGUCUUCUUUUUUGAAGUCCUUAGGAAAAAUGUUGCCGGACAUUUUGCUGCCCGGAGGAGUCUAGACUUCCUUAAGCAUAAACCUUAAUCCUUCCUGGCUUCCUGCUACAAUUCUUCUGUUUCCUCCCCCAUCUUUUUCUGGGCAAAGCCAAUUCUUUUUCUCUACUCUUACCUGAGGGUCUCUGUUCACUUUUGAAGCCACAGACAAUGCAAGAAACAUUUAUUCGAAUACCUAGGCCCCAAAUGUUUCUGGAAAAAUAAAAGAUGUGUGACCAAGGACAUUACUUACCCUUUCAAUCUGUGAAAUGGAGACAAUCCAGAGAUAUCCCCUAAGGGGCCUAUGGGUAAUCAUAUAAUGUUUAUAACUCUAUAAAACAAUGGGAUACUUAUCCUUGCAAUUUGUAAAUAUAAAUUUAUAAAGACUAUAACAGUUUAACUUAUUAUAGUACUUAUCAACAUUGUUAUGUGAGUACCAUGCACUAGCCCAUUGUGUCACUGAAACCCCCUUACUGAUGUUGUUAAACACUCAGGCUUCCAGAACAUACUAAGUGUUCAAUAAAUAUAAUCAGUUACUAUUUAGAGUAAGAUAAAAAGGUAAUAAAAUAAAGCUGUAAUUCUUGUAUGUACACAGCAUGGAGGAGAAAGACUACACAGCAUGGCUAAAGACUUGGAGAUCUGACUUGAAUAUUUUAAAGGACGUAUCUUAAAGGGAUCAAGCCCAAAGAUGAUCUACCACAGAGCUACAUCUCUCGCCCUUUUUCUUUUUCUUUUUUUAUUUUGGGACAGGGUCUCACUAAAUUGGCCAGAUGGGACUUGAACUCAUGAUCAUCCUGUCUCAGUCUACCUCACUGCUGGGAUUACAGAUUUUUGGAUGGUUGUGUCCCCUCUAAACACAGCAGAAUGGUGUUCUUGCUGUUGUGCUGUUGGAAGGACGUGAACUUCCAGUUCCUGGGUCUGAGCUCUAUGUCUGAUUCUGCCACAUACCUGCAGCCCUGUGCCCUUAGCCUCCUUGAGGUAAAAAGCUUUGCUCCACCCAACGUCCCUGCCAUGAUGUUCUGCCUCAUCCCAGAACCAAAAGCAAUGGAGACAAGUGACUAUGGACUGGAGCCUCUGAAACUGUUUUUACUUGAAGACACCGAGAACUACAGCAUCAUUCAUUGUUGGCAUGUUACAGUAGAAAGACCACUGGGCUUGGGAGUAAGAAGAUGGAAAUCAAAGAGCCAGUUUUUUCACUUCAACAAAAUGGUGCUGAAGAAAUAGGAUAUUUCAGUGGUUCCUGAGCAUAACUUACAACAUCAGCAUGGUUGGAACUCUGUGCACACAUGCGUACACAUGGAUUACCCUCCUGAGCCUUUGGUUCAAAAGAUUGGAAAUUGAUUCCUAUUGUUUACAAGCAGCUGGUGUCAAUGACUACUGAUACAUCCAUUGAAUUCUAGUUUCUUCAUUUGUAAAACAGGAAUAGCAUUUCCUAUCCGUCAUAAACGAUUGUUGUGAAGAUUAAAUGCAACAAUAGACUUGUGGCACAGGCAUAAUGCUCAGAGGAAGCUCCCUUGUUUCUUCUUCCAGUGAGCCUUCCUUGUUGUAGCUCAGAGCUUCCCAAAGGGGAUUAGCUCCAUGGGAUGCUCUGCGGAAUGACUGUGUCUUGGGCAGUUGUAUUUGACACUUAGUCUUCCUUCCUGCUUGCUAAUGGACCAUUAGAACUUUAAGGACUCUAAAAUGAGCAGAAGAAAACGGACUGGUUAAAUCUGUUGCACUCAGUGUCCCCCAAAAAGUUAUUUUACUAUUAAACUUUUUAAAGUGGCAAUUAUUAAUUGAUGUUCAACAGAGCAUGCUUCAGGGAUCACUUCCCUCUACAAUCUCUAACUAAUGUUCUACCUUUCUAUAACCUCUCUCAGGGAAUUUACUGCUUGUUUUGAUCUGAUUAAGACCCAGGCUUUCUAAUCAUCCCGGACAAUAUCUGCUCUUUUUCUGAACUACUAAUUUCAGUGGACACUCAUAUUAGUGAUGAUUCUAUUUAACUUUAACUUCCUGAGAUUAUGAAGGUAGAACACAAAUUAUCUUGGAAGAAAUUAAACCAACAAUUUAGAAAUAAAAUUAAUAACUAAACAGUAAAAAUUCACAAGUACAAGGGUGUUAAAUAAAAAAAGAGAACAUUAUAUUUUGAGAGAGCAUAACUUACUCUUGCACCCAGUUUGAUGGGAUAAAUUUAAAAGUACAAGUUUGUCUGAGAGCUAAAUUAAUCCAAUAGUCAGAAAUACCUUGAUAAAAACUUAUAAAUGAACUAAAAAUAGUUAAAUGAGAUUGCUGCUGGAGGAUAACAACAUUGAAGUUGCCAAUCUAAGAGCUAUUGAGAAGCAGAAUAUAGUUACGUAGGUUUUUGGGGUGACAUAAUUUGCCUGGUCUGUAUUUUUAAAGGAAGGUGGACUAUUUUGUUUCUAUACAUCCUCCUGGAACUGAGAAUGUAUAUCUUUAGUUGAGGUGUGUCUAUAAAAUAAUGUCUUACUUAUUCAGGCCUAAGUGGAAGAGGGUACACCUGUAUGGAUGCAUGGCUUGAGGCGAAUGAGUGAACAAGAUAGUUGGAUUCAGGGUAUAAAGUUCAAAGCCAGGUCAGGAAGAGUUAGCAUUAAGACUUUGCUUCUUCAGAUAACUACUCAAUAUGUAUAUUUUUUGCAAGCAUCUUGCUUUUGCAGGUCUGCUAUGAAAAUCUCAGAAGAACAGCUUUGCUUGUGAGCUCUCCCACAUUUCUACUCUGGUCCUGGCCAGAAAGACUGUGAGAACACCCUUUCAUUUGGUAUUUGAGCCCUUCUGCCUCUAUUCCUGGCUUCAGACCAAAGGGAAUAAAUGCAACCGAACAUUUCAGAACCUCGAAAUAGUAAACCGAAAAUGGUUUGCUCUGCUUUUGGUUCUAAAAAUGAUUGACCUGAGAAUUUUUUUUCCAAACUAUCUGCUUGGUCCAUCUCUAGUGUGGAUUACUGGACUUUAGAAACCUGAGGAGGAGAGUAUUUCUUAGAAAAUACAUAAAGAAAAUAUGCAAACAAAAUUUUUAUAAUAAAGGUGCCCAGUUGCUACAACAGAGGUUAGAUUUUACGAGCAUGGUUUAUAUUCCUGAGUAUUUAAAGCAGAAGAGGCUUGGAUGAGAAAGUGGAAAACAUGGGCUUGUAUGGUGAGCCAGUUCAUCACUAGCUUAGUGACCAGGGCAGAUUCCCUAGGCUUUGUCUCCUCUGGGCAAAAUGAAUAGAAAUCAAAAGAAUUAUACUUAUUUUAAUUGAGUCAUUAUGAAGAACAAGGUAUUUCAGAAUACCUUAAAAAUUACAGUGCCAAAGACCAUGUGAAAGUCAGUAAAUCAUAGGGACUACAAGUUUGUAUGUUACCACCAAACACACCUGGUUUCAAAUCUCUGUUCCUCUGCAUUCCAGCUCUGUGACCUGCGUAUGUCACUAAAAACCUCUGAACACUGAUUUCAUCAUCUGUGAAAUGAGGAGAGUGAUGUUGGGAGAAGAAAGUCAAAUGAUGUAAAAUGGUAUUGAUGAUGCCUAUUGUACAUACUCAUAGUUCCAGGUGCCAAUCUAGAGAACCCUCUGAACUAUUUUCCACACAGUUACUUAGUCUUCUGAAUCCCAUUGAGUUGACACAAGAAUGAUGCCCAUGUGUUGGGUGGCUGCGUAGGGGGUCAGUUUACUUGCUUGGAUCCAAAAUAUGGAUUAGGCUCAAUGGGAAUAUCCAAAGGAGAAAGUAGAACACUCUGGCCGGGCUAUGCCAAGUAUAAAGCAAUGCUGAUUUGGGUCAAUUUUUAGCAUCCACUUUUCAAUAGCAAAGAGAGAAAGGUGAAAGGUAAAACUAUAUGCAGGGCCACUUUUUGUGGAAUUAGAACACCAGGACAGAUUUUCUUACAUUAGGGAUAGGAUACUUGUUUUGUGAAAAACAGGUAUUCACUAUAACUAAAUAUACAAUGUCACUGGUAGUUUACUUGAUAUUCCCUACACACAUUAAGGAUAGGAAUUUAGUAAAUAUUUGAUUUGAUUAAAUAUUAAAGUAUCAUAUAAGUCUUCCAAUGAAAACACUGUCUUUAAUCCACCCAGCAGGACUUACUGUUCUGCUACCCCUCUAAGGUGUUUGUUAAAUAGCAUUCUCUCUUCCUCCCUUCAUAGUUAAAGUUUUUGAGUGAAUAAUCCUAUUGGCAGCAUUUCUUCAUGGAUUUGGAAUCCCUACAUUUCUCUCCCUCUGGGUAUUGACACUUCUGGGCACUUGUGACUCCCCAAGGGCCACAUCCAAUGACAGUUUGUAAAUGAGAUUCUCUUUUGCCAUUUUGCAUCUUUUACCUUCUGCAGCACUUUUUUGUCCCCUCCCCCAAUUACAGUGAAUCCUUUUCUGUCGCCUUCAGGUGCUUCCUUGGGAUUCUGUCCUUUAUCGCCUUCUCUUUACCCCAUACCUUAAGCCAACCCUGCCAAUCUACUACUCUAGUUAUCUCCCCUACCCGAAACUCUGGGCCCCCAUAAUGUUCCUCCCAAGCUUGUUAUCUUCACCUGGAUGUCGUCAAGCUUGGUGUCCAAAGUCAAAGCUCAACAACUGUCUCUGUAAGCCGGCUCCCCUCUCCUGCCCCCUUCACUUCAGCCAUUUUGUUUGUAUAUGAAAAUAAACUUCUCCUGGUGGGAAAAAUUCAAACCCUCAGCACUAUCUUGGUCCCAAGGCUCUCGUUUGACCUCAAGUUCCAGGAAAUUCCCAUGUUUAGUUGUGAGCCUGUCAAUUUUAUCUAACUAUGUCUGCCACACUUACAGGGUGGACAGAUGAUGCUUCGAGGGUCUCUGGUUCUCUCUGGGAUGUGUACUCAUGCGUUCUGAAGACAGUUGCUAUAACUCCAGCCAUUUCUUCUGUAUUUUAGACAGGAAAAGGAGAUAGACCACAGAAUCAAAGGGCACUUGCCAAUGCCCAAGGGGCAUCCUUUAAGGGGAGUUUUCUUGAAGGAACUGUUUGAUAAUCUUUGCUUAUAUUGAGUUGACCAGAGCAGAGCUGCAUCAAUCCACCAGGGAGGCAAAGAAAUAUAGUCAAAACAUCUGACCACAGUGCUGCUCCAAUGAGAUAGAACACUAUGGGAAGGGAAGAAAAAGCAGCAUGAGAUUGAGUAGAUGACCAAGGGUCUUUACAAACCCGUUCUCUUUACUUUCCUAUGUUUUCUUAAAAGAAACAACCACUGAAUUUGGAAGGAUAAAAGAGACUACAGUUCUUUCUUUCCCACCCUCAUCAUCUUACUUCAUACUCUUCUUACCUUUUUGCUUAGAUUCUUGCAAAGUUACAUGUAAGUCCCUACUCCACUUUUACUAUUUCCUCGGGUCUCCACGCAUUUAUUAAAGAAGAGAGUGUUGCUGAUGGGCACUGUGCAACAUGCUCAGGAUGAAAGAAACAAUGUCCUUGUUCUUGAUUUGAUCUACACAUUAUAUACCUGUCACAAACAUCACACUGUACCCCAUAAAUAUGCACUAUUAUUAUGUGUCUAUUAAAAUCAAUCAAUCAUCAAUCAAUCCCAUGACCUUUGUUAUGGUACAUAUAGUCCUGUCGGGGAGACCAACAUGCCAGCAACUGGUCCCAGUACACCACAUCACAGGAUGAGAUGGACGUGGACGAAAUGAAUUGAGGAAGCAGAGAGAAAACCAUGGCUACUGGAGCCUGGGAAAGUCUGAGAAGACUCUAUAGAAAAGUGGAUAUUGUCAGCUGAGUUGUGUUUUAGUAAGCAUUUCACAGGCCAACUCAAAGAGAAAUAAUAAGUUUUCUGUGUUUGCAAACUAUUGCCCAUGAAAAACUGAGGGGUGACAUACUUGACCUCACUCCAAAUUUAAUUUUUAAAGAAAGGAAUCAUAAGUAAAAGUAAUUUAAAAUAUAACAUUACAGGGCACAGUAUUGAUAAAUGAGAGGAAAACUGGUUCUUAAAGAGUGUACCACUCACUGACCAUGCCCUGAAAUUAACUGAGAACUCAUUUGUCAAGAGUGUACCUACCCUGAGAAAAUCUUCCAAUUAACAUCAAAAGUGAUCAUUCUUAACCUCUCAUGCAUUAAGAAAUUCUUGUCUGCACCUGAUGUUCUGUUCAUAAUCAAUGGAGCUCUUUAUGUAUGUUAUUUCAAAUUUAUCACCCUGUAUAUUACUAAAAUGAACGAAUUAAUAAAUGAAUCUGCUGUAGGUCCAGAAGCCAGAUUUAUUUGUUGUCUCCUGGUUCUCAUAGGAUUUUCCUUUGGUCUGUAAGUCAUUUCACUCUGCAGUUUCUCACAGUUUCCGAUAUUUAUUGAUAGCUACUGACAGCAUGUGUUGGUACUUACAGACCAAUGGUGUCUAUGUAAGAAAAAUGCUUUUUGGGAGGAUUAGAUCUGUUCUGAAAAAUGUCAGCCAUGUCACUAUCAGACUAUGCUAAGAAGACAAUGCAAAAGUCCUAUCAGUUCUAACUGUAAUAUAUUGUCACAGAAACAUGCCUCAAGAUAAAUUAAGUAAUACUUGAUGCUGUCAUGGUAAUGGGAAGAUUGAUAAGUUUAUAAACUUUGGUUGAGAACAAAUUAGUGCAAUAUUCUUGGUGGCCACUAUCACGAUAUGAGAUUAAGAUAUGUUAGGCUAUAUCCCUAAAUUUGGACCCUUAAUUUCUACCUAUAAGAAUCUACCUAUGAAAAUGAUUAAAAUUUAGAAUAUGAUGUAGAAAAUGGAAGUCAGAGCAUUCAAUAAACUGCAAAAUAUCCAAGAGCUCGAAUAUUAUGUAGUCUAUCAAAAAUUCUGUCUUCAAAUAUUUUUGAUUACAUAAAAAAGUGCCUGUUACAUUCAGUGAUGGACAAGAAGGAAAGUAUUAAGGUCUCAUCCCUCUCUAUGUGGAUAAAUGUCAUUCAUGUUUAUGCAUGCAUAUCUUUCAUGUGAUUUGCACUGGACUGCUAAGAGUUUAAGUGAUUCCUGUUAUCUUCAGGGUUAUCUAAAUUUUAUAACUUUCUACAUCAAGAAGUGUGAGUUUCAUAAUCAGGAACAAAAAAGAAAAUCUUAAAAGGAAAGCUAAACAAAGAUCAUGCAAGAGAGUAGGAAGGGUUUGUUUUUGGCCCUUUUCAUAUGUAAUUGUCUACACUAAUAAUUCUCAGACUUGCAUACCAAGUGAAGUCAAUCUCACUAAGGGUCUCAAUCAAGACUCAGGCUUGAGUGUGUGCUCCAGGCUCUGAGCAUUCCCCCAUCACCCCUCUCCAUCCUGUCCUCCAAAUUUCCAUCCAUUUUUUUUUUUCAAGCCAGGAAUGUUCCCAUAUGUCUGUAAUCCCAGCACUUUAGGUGGCUGAGGCUGGAGGAUUGCAUGUUCAAGCCCAGCCUGGGCAAUUUAGUGAAUUGGAAAGACAUUGUUUCAAAAUGUAAUAAAUGAAUGAAUGAAUGAAUGAAUAAUAAAUAAAUGAAUGGGCUGAGGAUGUACCUCAGUGGAAAGGCCCUGUGUUUAAUGCCCAGGAUUGAAAAAAGGAAUUUACUUUUUUACCAAAGCACAGCUAUUGUCAUGUGACUCCCUCCUUGAAGCAUCAUUAUAACUUCCUGACUGCUCGGCGUGCUCAGCGUGGCUCCAGCUCCUGUCCACCGUCUGAUACCUUUUGUAUCGCCUCAUCUUCUGACACUCCAGCCCAGCAGGCGUCUGGUUCCCUUCACGACACGCCUCACUCUGCCCUCCCAGUCACUGUUUCCUCAUGUUUGUUCGUUCUGCUCACCCUUCAAAGCCCUGCUAAAAUUCCUAGAAUGUUCAUUGUGAAUGUUUUCCUCCAUCAUUUCCUCUGUGGACUGUAUUGGUCUCUUUUAUUGCAUUUACCAGGAUUUAACUUGUUUCAUGCUUACUUGUGUCUUUCUCUUCUUGUGUUGUUAGCCCCCCAAAUUAUACCAUCUGUUGUGAUUUUCAGUUGUUAGCAGGUAUUACAGUCAUCUAAGGGUUAAUUAAAACAGAAAUUUGGGGUCCCAUUCCAAGUAUUUCUAAUGCAAUAUACCUGUGGAGGGGCAUAGGAAAGUCCUUUUCCAAUAAGGCCACAGGCGCUGCUGCUACAGUUGGUGACAGAAAACACUUUGAGAACCAUUGCUUUCCAAGGAGGGUGAGAAUGAUGUAAAACAAAUGAGACUCUGCUUUGCUGUGGAAGAUAGAGCACGGAUAGUGAAAUCAUAGGAUUUCAUGCAACUUGGGUUAGAUUUCUGUUCUGUCACUUGAUGUUUGAACAAGUUACUUAACCUUUCUAAGAAACUUAACUUUCUUGCCAGGUAGUUUAGGAACAUUAUUAACUCUUAUAUAAGAAUUUUUUCUGAGGGUUAUAUAGGAUUGCAAAAUACCCAAUAAAUGGUGGCUACUACUAUGAAUCCAUUUAUUCUACAAAAUAACCGUGUAAGAUACGUUUUUGCUCCCAUUGGCCGUACUGUACCCCCAGACAGCUUCUUGGACUUUUAAUUAAAG